rnacentral:rRNA from 1 species
CCCUAGUAACGGCGAGUGAAGCGGCAACAGCUCAAAUUUGAAAUCUGGCGUCUUCGGCGUCCGAGUUGUAAUUUGCAGAGGGCGCUUUGGCAUUGGCAGCGGUCCAAGUUCCUUGGAACAGGACGUCACAGAGGGUGAGAAUCCCGUACGUGGUCGCUAGCCUUUACCGUGUAAAGCCCCUUCGACGAGUCGAGUUGUUUGGGAAUGCAGCUCUAAAUGGGAGGUAAAUUUCUUCUAAAGCUAAAUACUGGCCAGAGACCGAUAGCGCACAAGUAGAGUGAUCGAAAGAUGAAAAGCACUUUGGAAAGAGAGUUAAAAAGCACGUGAAAUUGUUGAAAGGGAAGCGCUUGCAGCCAGACUUGCCUGUAGUUGCUCAUCCGGAUUUCUACCCGGUGCACUCUUCUACGGGCAGGCCAGCAUCAGUUUGGGCGGUUGGAUAAAGGUCUCUGUCAUGUACCUCUCUUCGGGGAGAACUUAUAGGGGAGACGACAUGCAACCAGCCUGGACUGAGGUCCGCGCAUCUGCUAGGAUGCUGGCGUAAUGGCUGUAAGCGGCCCGUCUUGAAACACGGACCAAGGAGUCUAACAUCUAUGCGAGUGUUUGGGUGUCAAGCCCGAGCGCGUAAUGAAAGUGAACGGAGGUGGGAACCUUUCGGGGUGCACCAUCGACCGAUCCUGAUGUCUUCGGAUGGAUUUGAGUAAGAGCAUAGCUGUUGGGACCCGAAAGAUGGUGAACUAUGCUUGAAUAGGGUGAAGCCAGAGGAAACUCUGGUGGAGGCUCGCAGCGGUUCUGACGUGCAAAUCGAUCGUCAAAUUUGGGCAUAGGGGCGAAA